GCGCUUUAUAUAUAUAUAUAUAUAUACAGUUAUAUAUAUUGUAUACACAAUUUGUGUGUGUUUGCAAUGUUUGUGCAAAUCGUAGCAGCUAACCGGAUGUCGAUUUGUUAGCAAACACCGCAAGAUAUGGCCGAGCAAGCAGCCAUCUUAAUAGACUUGAGACCAUAUGGAACUGAACUGAAGUGAACUAUCAAUAGUUAAAACUUGACAAUUAUAAAUGAAAGCUGAGGGCUGAGUCUGCAGAAAUGCCAACGAGACGCGCUACGAAUGAGGCAAAUUUAUGCCAAGUGCUUGGGGAUGCUUUAAGCACGGCCGAGACCAGAGAGAGAGAGAGAGAGAGAGAGAGAGAGAGAGACACACACUUCCGGCACUUCUGGCUUCUUAUGGGGCUGACAUGGCUUGACUCGACUUUGCUGCCGUCUCAGUUAAGUGAGCAAGACGAGGCACAAGUAAACACAUAAAAAUUAG